rnacentral:rRNA from 2 species
AUAUCAAUAAGCGGAGGAAAAGAAACCAACAGGGAUUGCCUUAGUAACGGCGAGUGAAGCGGCAACAGCUCAAAUUUGAAAUCUGGCCCUUGGGUCCGAAUUGUAAUUUGUAGAGGAUGAUUUUGGUGCGGUAUCUUCCGAGUUCCUUGGAACAGGACGCCUUAGAGGGUGAGAGCCCCGUACGGUUGAAUGCCUAGCCUCUGUAAAUCUCCUUCGACGAGUCGAGUAGUUUGGGAAUGCUGCUCUAAAUGGGAGGUAAAUUUCUUCUAAAGCUAAAUAUUGGCCAGAGACCGAUAGCGCACAAGUAGAGUGAUCGAAAGAUGAAAAGCACUUUGAAAAGAGGGUUAAAUAGCACGUGAAAUUGUUGAAAGGGAAGGAUUUGUGACCAGACUUUUUCUGGGCGGAUCAUCCGGGGUUCUCUCCGGUGCACUUUGCCCAGUAAAGGCCAGCAUCGGUUUUCGGCGGGGGAUAAAAGCAGUAGGAAUGUGGCUCUCUUCGGGGAGUGUUAUAGCCUGUUGUAUAAUACCCUGCUGGGGACCGAGGUACGCGCUUCUGCAAGGAUGCUGGCGUAAUGGUUAUCAAUCACCCGUCUUGAAACACGGACCAAGGAGUCGAACAUUUGUGCGAGUGUUUGGGUGUUAAACCCUCACGCGUAAUGAAAGUGAACGGAGGUGAGAGCCCUUACGGGUGCAUCAUCGACCGAUCCUGAAGUUUUCGGAUGGAUUUGAGUAAGAGCAUAACUGUUCGGACCCGAAAGAUGGUGAACUAUGCGUGGAUAGGGUGAAGCCAGAGGAAACUCUGGUGGAGGCUCGCAGCGGUUCUGACGUGCAAAUCGAUCGUCAAAUCUGCGCAUGGGGGCGAAAGACUAAUCGAACCAUCUAGUAGCUGGUUACCGC